rnacentral:rRNA from 1 species
CUUACCAACCCGAUGCAAACUGCGAAUACCGGAGAAUGUUAUCACGGGAGACACACGGCGGGUGCUAACGUCCGUCGUGAAGAGGGAAACAACCCAGACCGCCAGCUAAGGUCCCAAAGUCAUGGUUAAGUGGGAAACGAUGUGGGAAGGCCCAGACAGCCAGGAUGUUGGCUUAGAAGCAGCCAUCAUUUAAAGAAAGCGUAAUAGCUCACUGGUCGAGUCGGCCUGCGCGGAAGAUGUAACGGGGCUAAACCAUGCACCGAAGCUGCGGCAGCGACACUGUGUGUUGUUGGGUAGGGGAGCGUUCUGUAAGCCUGUGAAGGUGUGUCGUGAGGCAUGCUGGAGGUAUCAGAAGUGCGAAUGCUGACAUAAGUAACGAUAAAGCGGGUGAAAAGCCCGCUCGCCGGAAGACCAAGGGUUCCUGUCCAACGUUAAUCGGGGCAGGGUGAGUCGACCCCUAAGGCGAGGCCGAAAGGCGUAGUCGAUGGGAAACGGGUUAAUAUUCCCGUACUUGGUGUUACUGCGAAGGGGGGACGGAGAAGGCUAUGUUGGCCGGGCGACGGUUGUCCCGGUUUAAGCGUGUAGGUGUGUGUUCCAGGUAAAUCCGGUUCACUUUAACACUGAGGCGUGACGACGAGGCACUACGGUGCUGAAGCAACAAAUGCCCUGCUUCCAGGAAAAGCCUCUAAGCAUCAGGUAACAUCAAAUCGUACCCCAAACCGA